AUUGAACGCUGGCGGCAGGCCUAACACAUGCAAGUCGAACGAGUGGCGGACGGGUGAGUAAUGUCUGGGAAACUGCCUGAUGGAGGGGGAUAACUACUGGAAACGGUAGCUAAUACCGCAUACCAUCGGAUGUGCCCAGAUGGGAUUAGCUAGUAGGUGGGGUAAAGGCUCACCUAGGCGACGAUCCCUAGCUGGUCUGAGAGGAUGACCAGGCAAACGGGAAACGAGACCAGGGUCAGACUCCGACGGGAGGCAGGAGGGGGGAAUAUUGGAACAUGGGGGGAAGCCUUGUGGAGCCCUGGCGGGUGGAAUAAGAAGGCCCUUGGGUUGGUAAGGAACUUUCGCGGGGAGGCGUUACCCGCAGAAGAAGCACCGGCUAACUCCGUGCCAGCAGCCGCGGUAAUUC
rnacentral:rRNA from 1 species